GAACUUCGCAAAAGGAUUAUAUUUCAUGUACUUCAACUAAUAACGAAAAUAAUUUCAAGAUGCGUACUAAAUGUGAAUUUUACAAAAUUGAACUUUAUAAAAUCGAAUGUAUUCAUAUAGUAUCAUGUAUGAUACAUAUCCUAGUUGUCCAAAAGUCUUCCUCAUUAACUUCAAAUGGCCAAAUUGACUUUUGGCCACCAUUUUCAAUUACAACAACAACAACAAAAAACUCAGUUUGAUCCCGUAACGGGAUUUUGGGAGGAUAGUGUGUAUGCAUACCUUACCCCAUUGCAUCAUAAGAAUUUUCCUACACUACAAAAAUGAAAUUAAAUAUUAAAUAAUAGACACCAAUAGAGAGUGUAAACUCAAGUGAGAAUAUUUUACACGUAUUUUUCAUACAGAAUGAACAGUAAUGCAAAUCAUGAUCAAAACAGAUAUUCAAUGCUAUAAAGGCCUAUAAAACUACAGAUGCACAAUAUUUAACUGCAAGAUACACCCAGGAGCGCUUGCCAAAAUAUUGCAUUGGUGGUAACAUGAGAUCAUAAAAGUGCAAUAAGACGAAAUACAUAAAAUCAUAUUAGAAGCAAGGCUAUGUUUCUAUUUUUUAUGGUGACUCAAAAACAGAACCCUUUGAUCACAAAGUGAACAAGUUUAAGAAAAAGAUACAUUAGGUGGUCACCAAAGAAAAAAAUUGUAAUGACUUGCAUUCUUUAGGCAAUUCUAGUCACCCUACUGAGGGAACAUAAAAGCAAGUUAAGGGAGAAGAGCAAGCAUCAUUUUAUGUUGAUUUGUCUAUGCUUAGGACAUUACUGCUCCUCUUCCCGAUAAAAAAUACCACCAUUUCUAGCUCUAUGUCCUAGCAACAACACCAAUUAAGUAGAAACCCUUUGUAUUUAUUAAAAGGAGAUAAAAAUGGUGAUACUAAUGCAUAAAAGAUAAGUCCCAAUUCUACUAACAUAUUCAUUUAGCAGGUAUAAAAAAUAAACAAAUAAAAAGUUAGAAUUGGACUAUAAGUUUGAUCUAGAGGAAUGUGAAAGAUUUUGGUCUCACAACCUGUGCGUUACUUGCAUCAUUAGUAGAAGGAUAAGGCAGUUAGCACACAUCUAAAUGACAUAUGUGAAAUUAAAAAUUAUAAGUACCUUGAAUGCUUCUAUUGUUACUUCAGCUUGAAUAAUACUAGCGAAAACCCCUUUACUAUCGAGGUCACCGUUCUUCAUUGGCACAACAAACCUAUAAAAGAAAUAAUUUAGUAAGAAAAAUUAUUAGAUGCAUUUUUUUAUUUAUCGAGAAUUAGAGAAACGAGGACAUUUAGCACAUAUCACUUCUCAUUCUCUCUGAUAAUUUUUCAACUACAACACUAAUAAAUAAUUAUAUUAGCACAAUCCUGGCUUUAGAUUUCAAUCAGUACUACUUUGCAGAUAGGAGACUUGUACGUUGAAUCGUAUUUUCUUGUUGGUAAACCACUGCAAAAUUUGAUAGAAGACAAGAAAUUCUUGGAUCAUCCAUUCUUGUAGAAGUUUCAAUAGAAGUGGAGACAGACACAAGAUAAUCUUGAUACUUAACAUGGUACAAAUGUUAGAUAGCCUACCUAUGUCAGUGCUAUAAUUGUGGAAUUUCCAUAAGUUUCACCAAAUAUAGUUAAUUAUACUUCUGUUGCCCUGAGGUGCGAUGAACUGAUAAAUUGACUUUGCCUGCAAAUCCAAAAAAAAUGUCAAUAAUUAGACGUUUAAUGAGAAGUGUCAAAACAAUAUUAUCUUUUAUUAUCCAGCAAAGUAAAAUUAGUGUCAGAUGCUACUUACCAUGUCUGGUACUAGUAUUGGCUUCCCUAAGCUCAAUACUACAAAAAUAAAAAAUAACAGUUAGGCAUUAAUGAGUUCUUAAGUUUACUAUUGUAUCGAACCAGUGAGGUCAGUUGGUUUGUUAGUAGAUGUCUUAUCAAAUACAAGGAAUAGCAGCACCAGAGAAACCUGGACAAUAUCCCUGUGCAACAAAACAUUAUCUUUGACAAACAUGGUUAUAUCCCUGUAUAUAGAGCAUAUUUAUGAAAAAUACGAUUAUCAUUUAGGUGAAAACCUGAUGAUUUUUUAAAAUCAAAUACUGGCUAAAAUAGAGUACUAUAAUAGGUAGGUAUUUUCACCACAUUAAGAACUAAUUCACUUAAGACACAUAUAGAAUAAUUUUUACAUAAAGAGAGGCAAAUCGCACAAUUCCAGNNNNNNNNNNNNNNNNNNNNNNNNNAUUCCAGCAAAGAAAGUUUUCAUUUUUUUUUUGGAGGGGGGGGGGGGGGGGGGGGAUAACUCCUUCAAUCUGUUACUAAGCUUUAAUAAGACAUCAAAGCAAGUCAUAUGCUAUAAUAGAAACUAGUAUGUAGUUUCUUUGCUUAUUGAAUAUUGUAAAAAGUUAAACACAAAAUUUAAAGAAAAUAAGGCAUCAAUCUACACACUAAUACAUGGCUAUGAACAGGAAAUGAUAGAAUAGCAUAAAAACAUGGAAUGACAAACUCAAUAAUAUUUAGAGCUUCUAAGCAAAUCAGACAGAAGCUCAAGUUCCAUAAAAGGCCUUCAAGGGUAGUGUAAGCAAGACAUAUAGAUAAUUUAGAAAUAAGUAACUAAGUCAUGUAAAGAAGGACCAUGAAACUGCCUUCACUUCCUGUUCAUUCAAAUAUCGUAAUAGUAUAUGUCCAUUUUACCUACAAUUUAAAACUAUUCUAGUUCUUCUAUAAAAAAAAUAGGAGCUUUUAGUUUUAUUCAACUCAAUCAAGUUGAGUUCCAUCAAAUAACUGUGGUGUAGCUAAAUUCAUGAGUUCCGUAUCAUUUUAUCGUUUAACUGGACAAUUCAAAUACCCUUGGCAUCCAAUAAAAGUAUAUAAAUGUAGGUGGACCAUUUUAGAUGAUGAAUCUAGUAUAACAAAAUUCUAAUAUAACGAUUUCAAGCCUUUCAUGCUAAACCUACAAAAAAUCUAUCCAUACACAAAUACAUUAAAAGAUCUACAACUCGUUUAACCAAGUUUUCCCCAAUCCAUAACAAAGUAACAGUAUCAGAAAUUCCCUGAAACGUCUAUUUACUCUAUAUCCAGAAGCAAAUCUAAAUACUAGAAUUUUUUCGGUUAAAUUCAAAUACUGAAUAAAAGUAAAGUAUACAUGUAUAUGUAUAAUCGAGUACUAAUUUUAAAAAAUCCUAUAUUGGUCUCAAAAUAAAUCGAUAAAACUCGAAUGCCAAAUCUUUUUUGUUGCCUUGAGAAAUAGAAUGGCGUAACUCACACCUUAGGAGAAAUCAAGUGAAGCAAAUUAGCGUUCCUGCUUCUGAAGUGCAUCGCCAAUUGGGUGCAAUUUUUUUGCUUUUCCUUUUCUUGACGAAGAUGGUGUGCAAUCGACUAUCCUAUUUUUUGAAAAUUCGAGUGAAGAAGAAGUUUUGUGGGUUUCAAACCCUAGAGAAGGAGGAAUAGUUUAAAUAGUGUGGAAACUUUUAGACGGAAUAGUAUAAAUGUAAAUUUUUUUGUGCGAAAUAUUUUUACUUUAGACCACGUUUGUACUGAGUUGCUUUUAGCCUACCAAGAAUAACGCUUGUAAAUUGUUGCUUAAUAUCUGAAUAAGCGUUCUCAAAAAUUUUAAUAUUAGGAAAC
rnacentral:lncRNA from 1 species